GGGCCCGCACAAGCGGUGGAGUAUGUGGUUUAAUUCGAUGCAACGCGAAGAACCUUACCUAGGCUAGAAUGCGAGUGACAUCCAGAGAGAUCUGGAGUUCUUCGGACACAAAGCAAGGUGCUGCAUGGUUGUCGUCAGCUCGUGCCGUGAGGUGUUGGGUUAAGUCCCGCAACGAGCGCAACCCCUGUUUUUAGUUGCCAGCAAGUAAUGUUGGGGACUCUAGAAAGACUGCCUGCGUAAGCAGAGAGGAAGGAGGGGACGACGUCAAAUCAGCAUGGCCCUUAUGCCUAGGGCUACACACGUGCUACAAUGGCGUAUACAAAGGGUAGCGAACCAGUGAUGGUAAGCCAAUCUCUAAAAGUACGUCUCAGUUCGGAUUGAAGUCUGCAACUCGACUUCAUGAAGCUGGAAUCGCUAGUAAUCGU
rnacentral:rRNA from 1 species